AAUAAUAUUUUAUUAUAGUAAAUUAAUUUUAAUUUAUAAUUUUUUUUACAUAUUAUUUUUAAAAAUUAAAUUAAUUAUUUUAAAUAAAUUAUUAAUAAAUAAUUUAAAAUCUCAGUAAUUAAUUUUUUUAUUUUAUUUAAGUUUGAAUAAGAAAUUUAUAUAAAGAUUUGAUUAAAUUUGUGCCAGCAAUCGCGGUUAUACAAAUAAGUCAAUUAAAAUUUAUUAUAAAUUAAAUUUAUAAAUAUAGUUAUAAUUUUAAAAUAAAAAUUUAAAAUAAAAUAAAAAUAAUUAAAAAUUUUAAAAUUUUAAAAAUUUAAGUGAAAUUUUUUUUUAAAAAAUUAAAAAUUUAAUUAAAUUUUAUAAUUUAAAUAAAUUUAAUAAUAAAACUAGGAUUAGAUACCCUAUUAUUUAAAUUUUAAUAAAUUUAUUAGGUAGUAAAAGAAGUUAGAAAAUUCUUAAAACUUAAAUAAUUUGGCGGUAUUUUAGACUAUUUAGAGGAAUUUGUUAUUUAAAUGAUAAUCCACAAUUUACCUUACUUAAAUUUUUAAAAUAUGUAUAUCGUUGUCAUAAGAAUAUUUUAAAAGAAUAAUAAUUUUCAAAAUUUAAAUUUUUUUUUUAAUUUUUAUUAAAUGUCAAAUCAAGGUGCAGUUUAUAUUUAAGACUUAAAUGAAUUACAAUAAAAAAAAUUUUUAGUAAAAAUUUUUAAAUAUUUUUUUUAAAUUGGAUUUAAAAGUAAAUUAAUAAAAUAAAAAUUAGUUGAUUUUAGCUCUAAAAUAUGCACAUAUCGCCCGUCGCUCUCGUUAAUUUUAAAAUGAGAUAAGUCGUAACAUAGUAGAUAUAUUGGAAAAUGUAUCUAGAAAAA
rnacentral:rRNA from 1 species